rnacentral:rRNA from 1 species
UGUACUGAUUGAGAUUUUAACACGAAGUGAGUGGCGAACGGGUGAGUAACACGUGGGUAACCUGCCCAGAAGUAGGGGAUAACACCUGGAAACAGAUGCUAAUACCGUAUAACAGAGAAAACCGCAUGGUUUUCUUUUAAAAGAUGGCUCUGCUAUCACUUCUGGAUGGACCCGCGGCGUAUUAGCUAGUUGGUGAGGUAAAGGCUCACCAAGGCAGUGAUACGUAGCCGACCUGAGAGGGUAAUCGGCCACAUUGGGACUGAGACACGGCCCAGACUCCUACGGGAGGCAGCAGUAGGGAAUCUUCCACAAUGGACGCAAGUCUGAUGGAGCAACGCCGCGUGAGUGAAGAAGGGUUUCGGCUCGUAAAGCUCUGUUGUUAAAGAAGAACGUGGGUAAGAGUAACUGUUUACCCAGUGACGGUAUUUAACCAGAAAGCCACGGCUAACUACGUGCCAGCAGCCGCGGUAAUACGUAGGUGGCAAGCGUUAUCCGGAUUUAUUGGGCGUAAAGCGAGCGCAGGCGGUCUUUUAAGUCUAAUGUGAAAGCCUUCGGCUCAACCGAAGAAGUGCAUUGGAAACUGGGAGACUUGAGUGCAGAAGAGGACAGUGGAACUCCAUGUGUAGCGGUGAAAUGCGUAGAUAUAUGGAAGAACACCAGUGGCGAAGGCGGCUGUCUGGUCUGCAACUGAC